GUUGCUGACUAUUAAACAUAUUAACAAUGCAAAGUGUACAACAGGCUCUUCCAUAGCCAUGGUUUUGCUUUCCAAGGUUUUGGUUACCUGUAGUCAACCAGGAUCAGAAAAUAGGUGACUAUAGUACAAUAAAACAGGUGAAAAUUGAUGACUACAGUACAAUAAGAAUAAAAUAGGUGAAAAACAGUGAAUAAAGUACAAUAAGAUGUUUUGAGAGAGCCGACAUUCACAUAGCCUUCAUUAUAAUAUAUUGGUCUAAUUGUUAUAUUUUAUUCUUAGUUGCUGUUGCUGAUCUCUUACUAUGCCUAAUUUACAAAUUAAAUUUUAUUACAGGUAUGCAUGUAUAGGAAAACACAUAGUAUAUAUGGAGUUCGAGACUAUCUGAGGAUUCAGGCAUCCACUGAGGGGCUUGACACAUAACUUCCACUAAUAAGGGGGAACUACUGUAUAUAAGUCGUAACUGAUGCUUCAGGAAGAUGCCCUGAAUGUCACUGGUGUGAAUCACAAUGAGAACAAUGUGCUUUCAAAUGAAGAGGAAACCAGCUCUCAGGAAGGAGGAAACACUCAACCACGGCAAUCCUUCUACUAAGUCAGACAGUGUGGACGGCCAAUUAUUUUAUCAUUUUCAUAAACUAAGAAUGGUAAUUUCAACCUAAUAGGUGCCUAUGAGAUAAGAGGCAGACAAACGUAACAAAUCUAUUACACAACCUGACUUUGGUAGGUGCUAUUUUCUAACUUUGAUUCAGUCUGCUCUUUACCUGGAUUGUCAAUAAAAAAGACCAAUAAAUCAUAAAGUAUUGCAGUUGAAUAAUUACGAUAACAUUUGUUCUCUCACAUUGCUAUAAAGAAAUACCUGAGACUGGGUAAUUUAUGUAGAAAAGAGGUUGACUUGGCUCACGUUUCUGCAGGCUGUUAAGGAAGCAUAGCAGCUUCUGCUUCUGGGGAGGACUCAGGAG
rnacentral:lncRNA from 1 species